rnacentral:rRNA from 1 species
AGCAGAGAUGCUUUGGUGCCUUCGGGAACUCUGAGACAGGUGCUGCAUGGCUGUCGUCAGCUCGUGUUGUGAAAUGUUGGGUUAAGUCCCGCAACGAGCGCAACCCUUAUCCUUUGUUGCCAGCGGUCCGGCCGGGAACUCAAAGGAGACUGCCAGUGAUAAACUGGAGGAAGGUGGGGAUGACGUCAAGUCAUCAUGGCCCUUACGAGUAGGGCUACACACGUGCUACAAUGGCAUAUACAAAGAGAAGCGACC